ACGACUUCACCCCAGUCAUGAAUCACACCGUGGUAAACGCCCUCCCGAAGGUUAAGCUAUCUACUUCUGGUGCAACCCACUCCCAUGGUGUGACGGGCGGUGUGUACAAGGCCCGGGAACGUAUUCACCGCAACAUUCUGAUUUGCGAUUACUAGCGAUUCCGACUUCACGGAGUCGAGUUGCAGACUCCGAUCCGGACUACGACGCGCUUUUUGGGAUUCGCUCACUAUCGCUAGCUUGCAGCCCUCUGUACGCGCCAUUGUAGCACGUGUGUAGCCCUGGCCGUAAGGGCCAUGAUGACUUGACGUCAUCCCCACCUUCCUCCGG
rnacentral:rRNA from 1 species